rnacentral:lncRNA from 10 species
AAGAAAGAUAGGUCUGUCAGCGUAAUGGGAUAAAGCACCUAGUGUUUAUAAAAAUAAGAGUAUAGCACUUUGUGAACUUUGAGAAAUGUGAACGAACAUUGAUUGGUAAAAUGUCUAUUUUAUAACUGCAUUUAAAUCAUCUUGAAAGUUUGAAGAACAUGCACCACUUUAUUUAAGGAUGCCUUAAAUACAGAAUUUGCCAAGUAGUGAAAGCUGGAGAUGAAAUGUGGAGAGUCUUAUGGGUAUUUUGACCAACAAUGAAUCCAAUACUGAAAUGGAAGAGGCCAUAUUUGUCACCGAGUCUUAGACCCAAAGGAAAGUUUCUGCAUAUAGAGGACAAGCCAUAAUUGGGCAUUCCGUGAGACCUGGGAAGUGGAGCAUAGUGGCAGCUGCGUUCAAAAGAGUUGUGUAUAUUUUACGCUGUCCCAGAUCUUUAGAGAUUAAAGCUUAAAAGUUAAAGAAUCUUUUUGGAAGAAAGAAAGGGACGAAGCAGCUGCUGGCCAAUUCAGAUGGAAAAGGAGGGAAAUGAUGUCAUCUUCUGAUGGGGUCGUAUCAAGAAUUUCCA